AGCCUCUGGAAACGAUUAGAGGUUAUACCUGCCCAAUGUUACAUAUUAAUGGCCGCGGUACUCUGACCGUGCUAAGGUAGCACAAUCAAUUGGCCCUUAAUUAGGGUCAGGUAUGAAUGGAGUUACGGGGUUUAGCUGUCUCCUAAUUACUUCUUUGAAGUUGCUGAGUAGGUGAAAAAGCCUAUAUAAAGAAAAAAGACGAGAAGACCCUUAGAGUUUUACUUAAAAAGGAAGAGUUUCCUAACUGGUUUUGUUGGGGCAACAUAGGAAGAGAUAAAACCUCCUAAAAUAUAUAUACCGAUGUUUUUAAAUUUGAAUAAACUACCUUAGGGAUAACAGCAUAAUUUUAAAAAUAAGUUUGUGACCUCGAUGUUGGACUAGGGAACUGAAGGGCUAGUCGCCUUUUAGUAAGGUUCUGUUCGAACUAUUAUUCCU
rnacentral:rRNA from 1 species